UCUCUUCCAUUUAAGAGUCUGCAACUUUCGAAGCUCUCAAUAAAAAAUGGUCUACAACCCUAACAAUUGGGCAUUUGUUUGAAUUGCAUCAACAAGCUCCAAAGUUGUUCAAUUAAACGGUCUACCAAGCUCUAAAAUUUGGCCUUUGCUUGAUUUGAACUAAAAGUCAAAGAUGAAGCACAAACUUCCAUAAGCAGAAGAGGCGAACGUUGCAGCCCCUCAAUGCUACUAUGGGAAGAUUGCUAGGCUUCAAACUUCAUGGACAGAAUCAAACCCACUGUGGAGGUUCCAUUCAUGUCCAAAGAGGCGAAACAAUGGCUGUAGUUUUUUCCAAUGGGUUGAUGGUGAGUGCCUCCACAUGAGAAAACUUUGAUGGGUUGGCUAUUGAGGACAAUGAGAGAACUGGAAGACCUAGUUGGACGUGGAAGAGGAAGAGAGAUGAAGCUAUGGUUUGCUCCGUUGGUUUUAUGGGGUGCACUGAUUAUUAAACACAUUUUGAAUUAAUCUUGGGUUGGUUUGAGUGCAGCAAAAUAGGAAGAAUGGUUAACAUGUUGAAUUAAUCUUGGAUUGGUUUGAGUGCAAUGGUAACAUUUUGAGGCUAAGAUCCAUGAGAUUGCUUUGUACAAUGUUGGAAUGGUUAACUUGGAAAAAUUUGGAAGAAUGGUUAACUUGUGUAAUUUUGCUCAAUGUAAUUUUGAAUGGUGAACUUGUGCAAUUUUGCUC